CCUACGGGUGGCAGCAGUGAGGAAUAUUGGUCAAUGGGCGUAAGCCUGAACCAGCCAAGUCGCGUGAGGGAUGAAGGUUCUAUGGAUCGUAAAACUCUUUUAUAAGGGAAUAAAGUGUGGGACGUGGCCUAUUUUGUAUGUACCUUAUGAAUAAGGAUCGGCUAACUCCGUGCCAGCAGCCGCGGUAAUACGGAGGAUCCGAGCAUUAUCCGGAUUUAUUGGGUGUAAAGGGUGCGUAGGCGGCCUUUUAAGUAAGCGGUGAAAGUCUGUGGCUCAACCAUAGAAUUGCCGUUGAAACUGGGGGGCUUGAGUAUGUUUGAGGUAGGCGGAAUGCGUGGUGUAGCGGUGAAAUGCUUAGAUAUCACGCAGAACCCCGAUUGCGAAGGCAGCCUGCCAAGCCAUGACUGACGCUGAUGCACGAAAGCGUGGGGAUCAAACAGGAUUAGAUACCCCUGUAGUC
rnacentral:rRNA from 1 species